GACCGAGCAACGCCGCGUGAGUGAAGAAGGUUUUCGGAUCGUAAAACUCUGUUGUUAGAGAAGAACAAGGAUGAGAGUAACUGUUCAUCCCUUGACGGUAUCUAACCAGAAAGCCACGGCUAACUACGUGCCAGCAGCCGCGGUAAUACGUAGGUGGCAAGCGUUGUCCGGAUUUAUUGGGCGUAAAGCGAGCGCAGGCGGUUUCUUAAGUCUGAUGUGAAAGCCCCCGGCUCAACCGGGGAGGGUCAUUGGAAACUGGGAGACUUGAGUGCAGAAGAGGAGAGUGGAAUUCCAUGUGUAGCGGUGAAAUGCGUAGAUAUAUGGAGGAACACCAGUGGCGAAGGCGGCUCUCUGGUCUGUAACUGACGCUGAGGCUCGAAAGCGUGGGGAGCAAACAGGAUUAGAUACCCUGGUAGUCCACGCCGUAAACGAUGAGUGCUAAGUGUUGGAGGGUUUCCGCCCUUCAGUGCUGCAGCUAACGCAUUAAGCACUCCGCCUGGGGAGUACGACCGCAAGGUUGAAACUCAAAGGAAUUGACGGGGGCCCGCACAAGCGGUGGAGCAUGUGGUUUAAUUCGAAGCAACGCGAAGAACCUUACCAGGUCUUGACAUCCUUUGACCACUCUAGAGAUAGAGCUUCCCCUUCGGGGGCAAAGUGACAGGUGGUGCAUGGUUGUCGUCAGCUCGUGUCGUGAGAUGUUGGGUUAAGUCCCGCAACGAGCGCAACCCUUAUUGUUAGUUGCCAUCAUUCAGUUGGGCACUCUAGCAAGACUGCCGGUGACAAACCGGAGGAAGGUGGGGAUGACGUCAAAUCAUCAUGCCCCUUAUGACCUGGGCUACACACGUGCUACAAUGGGAAGUACAACGAGUUGCGAAGUCGCGAGGCUAAGCUAAUCUCUUAAAGCUUCUCUCAGUUCGGAUUGCAGGCUGCCAACUCGCCUGGCAUGAAGCCGGGAAUCGCUAGUAAUCGCGGAUCAGCACCGCCCGCGGGUGAAUACGCUUCUCCCGGGUCCUUGGUACACCACCGGCCCCGGUCACAACCCACG
rnacentral:rRNA from 1 species